AUUCAUUCCAGGGCCGUGUGCAAGAAGAGCUCUUCGAGAGUUUCCUCAGAGCAGAUCGGCGUUGGGUAUCUCGUGGCUGCCCCACCCAUCCCCUCCCUCUGAUGUUUCAUGAGGGGCUGGCUUCUGGGGCCCACAGGCUUCCAUGCUCGCUGUCCCCUGACCUGGGCACUUGCGACCGCAUGUCAGCGCUAUCUACAGACCUACCUGUCUCCUCACUAGACUGUGGGCAGAUCGAGUGCAGGACCCUCAUGUGAUGUGGCCCGAAAUCCCCACACCUGGCCUGGCAGCGGACAGCAGGAGGGUCUCAGAAAGCCUCUGUGGUGGGAAUGUGUGAGCAUUGAUGGAGACGGCUGCACAAGGAGCGCUGGCGCAGGAACUGGGGGUGCGGGUUCUGGUGGCUUCUUGGUCACUGGCUGUCAGCGUGACCUUGAGUAAAGCAGCAUGCCUCUCUGGACCGCCGUUCUCCCAGCUGUGAAUAGGGGAUUGGAUGGCAGGUCAGUUCCCCUGCCUUUCUGACAGUACACAUACGAGUCAGGGGUCUCCACUGAGCCCCUGAAGCAGAACCAGUGGGAGAGGGCAAGAUUUUAGAUAGAAAACUAGAGAAAUAAACAGUUCGUUAUUACAGGGGAUUGGCCAGUUGGAGGGCUGGCUGGAUGCCUCCACGUCUGAUGUUGGAGCUUGAAGUCCCCAGGGUAGCAGUCCGAAAAGGGAGGCUGGUGAGCAGGCUGGGACUCCAAAAGCAGGUGCUGGAACUCUGUAAGGAUGGAUGGAAACCCGUGUCUGCUCCCGUUGCCUCCGACCUUGGUGACAGGGAAUCCCGCCGGGCCCCGGGCUCUUCAUCUAACACCGACUUCUGUGCCUGUGCUGCUUCACAUGGGUCGGCAGAGGAGUGCUCUGUGUGUUGACCAAGCGCGUGCUACAGAAUGCCCGCUGCCUCCCUUCCUCCUGCCCACUCGCUCCUGAGAACCUGCCUUGUAUAGUCCUAAUCAGAAACAGGCCAGAAAAGGAAUUCGGGAGAAUGGAGUUCCACCUCGCCAAGGCGAUACGAAGCUAUCACAGUAGAGUUUUGGUUCAUUUCUUCUGCAAAAAAUUCAUUUGAAGAAAGUCCGGAAGAAAAUCAUCCUGAAAUUUUCUUAGCAAACUGAGAGUCUCUCCAAAUAAAUGGCUGGUCUUCCACUGUGUAGCCCCAAGGUCAUUCAUUCAGAGUCAGACACAGCUAUAAAUUGUCAGCUCCUCCAGGACGGCCUUGGGUCUCCGCCUCCUCCUGGCGCUUCCUCGCACACAGAGCACACAGGGUGUGGUGCACGGCGGGCGGGUGAAGAGCACUGGGGCGGCCUCGUUUCCUCACCAGGGCUGGUGUCUGUUGGGUGCUCAUCGGCGGCCUCUGCUCCUUUCGUGCCCACACCAACACGUGGAGAGAGACACCAGCGUUGUCCCCAUUCACAGAUGGGACACAGAGGCACAAAGAGUUUAAGUCACUUGUCCGAGGUCAUAUAGCCAAUAACCAGUAGAACCAAUGUGAACCUGGGCUGUCUGCCCGCAGGGCCUCAGGCUUCGCCACGACUCACGCAGCCUCCGAGCUCAGCAUGUGCGGCUGGUCAUAUUACCAGACUCGCCUUAAAGUGGACUGAGAGACGGCGGGCAGCAGUGGGGGCCCAGGCUCACUCUCAUGGUUGGUCCCGGAAGACAAAAAACUGGCACUGCCGGCAAAGGUUCAGAAAUGCUCACAUUUCCAUCUCAGCCUGCUGUGUGUUGGAGAUUACUGACUGCCUCCCAAUGUGCUUUAUCUACUUCCUCAGCAAUUGAACUUCCAGUUUUCAGUUGGGCACAUGAUAGCCCCAAAAAAAGACUACUUCCCAGCUCCUUUGCAGAUGGACAAAGGUGAGGCCAUGUGGCUUCACUGUGGCUAGAGGCAUAUGCAUGGAAGUGUGCAAAUUCCGAUGUAUUCCUACAGGCAAGGGGCAAGCACUUCUUCUAUCAGUUCUUGCUUUCUGAGAAAGUGCAGUGCAAUGGCUGGAGCUCCACCAGCCAUCUUGCAUCAUGAGAAUCACCUUGAAAAUGGAAAUCACACAUGGUAGAGCAACGAGAUAGAAGGAAAGUGGGUCUCUGAGACCGUGGAGUGCCAUCCCAGCCCUGGACUGACUCCUUCUGGACUUCAAGAACAUGAGGGAGAAAUAAACGAUCUUGUUUAAGCUCCUGCUCUUCGAAGUGCGUCCCAAGGACCAGCAGCACUGGCAUCUCCUGGGAGCUUGUUAGAGAUGUACGAUCUUGUGUGCCACCCCGACCUACUGGAUCAAUAUCUACGGUUUAACUAGAUCCUCAGUGAUUUGUAUGCCUGUUCAAGUUUGAGAAACACUGGUUUAACCCACUGUUGUUGGCUUAACCUAAUUCUGACUGAUUGUGGCUGCAGUGGCCUUGCUGAUGCUGGUGACUGAGAGCCCCUUGUUAUUUCCAGAGUCUAUGGAGGCAGUGGCUUCCAGGAAAGCCAUCCGUGACUCAUGGAGUACUGUUCUCCAAACGGUCCUCAUCCCAAUCUGGCCUUGCAGAGCUCUAUGCAAAGAACAGAGCCACCAGAAGCAGUGGGAGAAAUCAGAACUCCGCAGCCUGUGGGUGCGUCUCUGGAAUUGGCUCACAUAAUUACAGAAGCCAAGAAGUCCCAUGAUCUGCCGUCUACAAGGUGAAGAACCUGGAAAGCCAGUGGUGUCGUUCAGGCCAAGCUGGAAGGCUGAGACCCAGGGGAGCGAUGGUGUAACUGCCCGUCUGCAGCUGAAGGCCUGAGAACCCGGCCGGGGGUGUGGGCUGCUGCUGUAAGUCCAGAGGCCGAUGAGCAGAGAGCCAGGAGCUCUGAUGUCGGAGGGCAGGAGAAGACGGGUGUCCCAGCUCGAGCAGAAAGAGCAAGUCCUCCCUUCCUCGCCUUCUUGUGCUGUUCAGGCCCUCACUGGAUAGAUGAUGCCACCCACUUUGGUGGGGGUGAUCUUUAGUCAGUCUACCAGUUCAAAUGCUAAUCUCUUCUGGAAACAGCCUCAUAGGCACACCCAGAAGCAAUAUUUUAACAGCUAUCAGGGCAUCCCUGGACCUGUCAAGGAGACAUGUGAGAUCAACCAUCACAAGGCGCAACCCGUUUCCUCCCACCAAAUCCACAACCCUCGAUUCUUCGCCCCUCCUCCUGGCCCGGCCCUCUCCCGUCUGACUGGGGUGAGCAGAGGGUGGCGCCUGGCGGGCCCAGGGCUCGACCCCUCCGUUAACACUGGCACUGGGAGUUUGGCCGCAGUUGUGCGCCGCUCUCUUUAACUUGUGGGGUAUAAGCACCUUCUCCCGUUCACGUGUGGAUCCUCACCAAUGCCUGAGCAACAGGAAAAGUCCCCUCCGACAUAGUAGUCACCAAGGUUUGCUGAGCCGCCAAGCAGCAAGCUGCUGCAGAAAGUACCAGGGGUAGUUGUGUAUUAUACCAGGAGAAGCUAACUUUUCUAAAAACUUUCACAAACCCUUUCUCUUUUGCUCUUCCUAAUAGCCUGGUAAGAUCAAGUAUAAGAAGUACCAUUAGUCCUUGGGUAGAGUUAAGCAGUUAAUUAGCUUGUCUGAGCUGGGGUUCCCCCAUCUGUAAUGUCAGGGAUAAGAGAAUCUACCUCACAGGGAUCUUGAGAGAAUUAAAUUUUAAGAGACGUGCAAAGUGCUAGCAUGGAGUUCUCAGAAUGCACCCUGGAGACAGCACCUGGGCAGGGCAGACCUGGGUAAGAGGCUGGACGGAGAAACAGGAGGGCAGGAAGGGAGGCGAGGUGGCAGAGCUUGGGCUCUGAGAUCAGGUGACAGGGACUCAGGUCCCACGCUGUCACUUGUUAGCUGUGUGAUCCUGGGCAAGUCACUUAAAUCCCUUCCUCAUUAGUUUCCACUUCUGCCAAGUGGGCAGAACAGGAGCACUUCCCUCAACCCCGCACCCGCUUCGGUUUACCUGUCAUUCAACGACAGCGCCCUCCACCGGUUGCUCCUGACGCUUCCUGAGAGUCAUCCCUGAAACCUCCUCUUCCUCAUGCGCCACAUCCCAUCUAUCAGCAGGUUUUAUCGAUUCCAUUUCUAAGCAUCUUUCAAACUGAUUGACUUUAGAGCAGGUGGGGUUUACCAAGACAGGGGACCGUUCCGGAGAUGCUGGAACCAAUGCACAGCCUGGGCAGCUAGAUGCAAUCCUCAUCUUCCUUUGGCUGGUUGAUGGAAAUCUGGACUCAGUGGUGGCCCACACUGAAACCCCAGAAAUUCCUUGUAAAACUAGUUUCAAAGAGAAUUUAUUAAGCAUGAAUCUUCCCUAAUUUUAUUCCCCAAGAGGGCACCACUUUCACCAGAACACCUCUGGGAGGGGAGUGCUAGCAUCUUUGGCAAGUGCUGAGAUGGCUGCUCUCUGAAAGCCAGAGAUGCAGGUCAGCGAUGGUGUGGUUUCAAGAUGGAGGAUGCGGAGGGGCAGAGGCCAGGCAACGGCACUUGACCACCAGAGGCACUAGGUGUGGUGACCAUUAGAGAAAGUUGGGCUGGAGUGAUGACAACCUGACCCACAGGGAUCUUGGUUACGGCUCUUUGACUUUAGAGGCCUUAGGACUGAAAUAGUUCAGUCUACUAAGAUCCUCUUGGACCUGGCUUGAGUCAUCAUGAGAGCUGCAGCCUCUUAACCACGUCCCUAGACCACAUCCCUAGAUGUGAUUCAAUUCACAGACCCAGAACCCGAGGAAUGAAUCCAUUAGCCUUAAAGCAGGACUUCGUAGUAAUAUGACUCUUCCUCCUGGCCUGUCACAAAGUGACCUGGGACAUCUGCUGGGUAAUUCUGCAUUGGAGAAAGGACCAUUGAACGUUGGCUCUGAGCUGAAACUGACUCCUGGAAACUCAAAACGCCACUGUGGUCUCCCAGCUGGGGGAUUUUGAGGCUAAGGGGAUAAUUGGAUUUCUGACCCAAAACCACCUCAGUGAAGGCAAUGGGAGCCAGACCACAUCCCAUAUUUCUUUGCCAAGAUUUUGAGUGGAGUGUUUGAUUGGACAUGCUUGGAAAUUGACAGAAUCUCCACACCGACUCCUUGGUUUGUGGAAUAAUGGCUAAUGUAGGGAAGGGCCAAAUGGAAGCCUCUGGAAUUCCACCUCCCAAUCAAAGUGAUUAGCCCGUAAAGUUCCACAUCCUAGGGGAAUGUCAGAUAUUAGUGCCAACAUCGAACAUUUGCAAAACUGCAGCAAUGGUGAUCCCUGUUAUGCUCUUAGAGAGCUUGCCUGCUUAGUUGGUGCAGAAGACAGAUCAAUCUUGGAGAAUAACUACAGAUCUUUGUAAGCUUAUUCAAGUGCUGACUCCAAUUUUAGCUGUUAUCUUAGAUGAAUUGAUAAAUUUACCCAGCCCAAGGUAUCACAGCUGGUAAAUCUUUGCUUUUUUUAAAUCCCUAUGAGCAUAAAGGCAUCAGGAAUUCAAUAGUUAGAUCUCACCUGAAAAGGAUAGCAGUCAUCUUCAUGAUGUGUUCUCCGGGCGACAUCAGUCUUCUGGCUCUGUGGCACAAUUCACCCCCACUGGUCCAUCACCCUACAUGCUAUAAUCCCAGUCUCCUACAUGGCUGACAACAAGCUCACAGGUCAUGGAGAGUAGAAGGUAACAGGUACUUAAACGUUUUUGUAAGACAUCUAUGCGCUACAGGACAGACAAUAAAUCCCCCAAAAUACAGGGACUUGGCCACCUCGCUGACAUUUUGAGAAGCUGGUGUCUGGGACAUAUUGGGAUAUUCCCUCCAAAGUGAAGGAGAAAUCGACUCACUGUGUCCCCUGCUACAAAGAAGGAGGUGUGAUGCUUUGUGAACUGCUUUGGACUUUGGAAGGAACGUGGAAAGAACCAAACAUCACAUUUGGUUGUGCUCUUCUGAUUCAUUUACUGAGUGAGCCACAAGACUCGCAGUUCUGGGCAGGGCUCAGAGCAAGAGGAGGCUCUUCAGCUGGGACAGACUAUAACCGAGGCAGCCCUGCUCUUUGGGCCUUAUAACCCAACAGGGCCAAGGGUACUAAGUUUCUUUAGUAGAUCAUUGAUGGGAAAAUCAGCACAAACACUAACAUUUUGGAGCAAAGCUAAGAUCUCUUCAGCAAGCAAAUAGUCUCCUUUUGACAAGCAGCGCUUGGCAGUAUUCUGGGCCUGGUAGAAAACCAGUACACCUGACCAGAGGAUGUCAGAUGGUCCUGCAACUUGUGCUUUCCCCUGUUAGCAGGGUGUUCUCUGCCCCACCAAACCAUAAAACUGAGCACGGCCUGCAACAUUCCAUCACCACCUCAAAGGGUCAUGGGCUCACACAGUCCUGAAGAUCAGUGGUAUGCCUAGCGUAUUUGGUACCCAGAGUCGGGGGUGUAUUGGUAAAUAUUUAGCAACCAACUCUUUUUGGGGUGAGAGCCCUGGUUUGCACAGUUUGUAUAUUUCCGUGGUGUAGAUGCUACCACUGUGGCUGAUUGCAGGCUACCAACAGGACAUCGCUGAACACAGUCAGAAAAGAUUUCACAACUGGUUCUCAGCAGCCAGUGCAAGCUGGCUCCAGCACGCCACCACCCAGAGUGGGCCAUUUUCCAAAUCCCCUUUCUCUAUGCAGUAAGAUUAUUUUCAGAAAACGAUCAUGAGAUGCAAUGAAUAAUAACUUCAGAAAAAGCACAGACAGCGGAAAUUUUCUUUUAUUGUAAUCAUGCUGGUAAACAUUUUUUAAAUAAAAAAGAAAAUUAAUAUCCAGUAAAAAAGAGGAGAAAAGGAUUGGCCAUAUGGUUUCUGGGCUGGCAUUUAAGGAGCUUAGAAGUCCCCACUCCAUCCUAACGAGUAAAAAGCUGAACGAACUGAAAAGCCAACAGCUUUCUUACAUCUCUCAGAGAAGUGAGGUCACAGGGCAAACGCUGCCCCCCAAAUUGGAGAGACUGACAGGCACACAGAAUGACAGCGUACCUGAGCAGAGACCCGGGAGCUGCAUUUUUUUUUUCCAAAAAAGGGAAAAGAAUUUUACCUAAAUAUUGUUCUGUCCCAGUAAUGAAGAACAUGACAGUUUCUGGUUUCCAGCCUUGGCUUCUGCAAGUGUGUCAGUGACUUCAUCAGAAUUGAACUUGUUUGAAUGCUGCUCUUCAGUGGACCGUACAGCCAGAUUCGACAAUCCAUCUUUGUUCAAUGGUUGAUCAAAGAACGCUUUUUGUUAAUCUUAAUUCCAAAAACUUUCUUACAUGUUAAGUAACAUGAACGAACUGUUCUGUAAAUACAAUUGUGUUGGAACACAGCCACUCACAUUUGUUUACAUCUUAUUUAUGGAGGCUUUUUUUUGCAGCCACAGCAAGCUGGGUAGUUGUCACAGACCAUGUUGUUUACGAGCCUAAAAUACUGAUCAGGCCCUUUAAGAAAAAGUUUGCCAGCCCCGACCUAAAGGAUUAAAAAUAAAAUGUAAUUUGUAUUUAAAGUGUACAAAAUUUGAAUAUAUUUUCAUCAAAAAUCCUAAACUAUG
rnacentral:lncRNA from 1 species